UCUAACGGAUUCAAAUCUGGACUGGAG
rnacentral:piRNA from 1 species